UGGGGAAUAUUGCACAAUGGGCGCAAGCCUGAUGCAGCCAUGCCGCGUGUGUGAAGAAGGCCUUCGGGUUGUAAAGCACUUUCAGCGGGGAGGAAGGCGUUAAGGUUAAUAACCUUGGCGAUUGACGUUACCCGCAGAAGAAGCACCGGCUAACUCCGUGCCAGCAGCCGCGGUAAUACGGAGGGUGCAAGCGUUAAUCGGAAUUACUGGGCGUAAAGCGCACGCAGGCGGUCUGUCAAGUCGGAUGUGAAAUCCCCGGGCUCAACCUGGGAACUGCAUUCGAAACUGGCAGGCUAGAGUCUUGUAGAGGGGGGUAGAAUUACAGGUGUAGCGGUGAAAUGCGUAGAGAUCUGGAGGAAUACCGGUGGCGAAGGCGGCCCCCUGGACAAAGACUGACGCUCAGGUGCGAAAGCGUGGGGAGCAAACAGG
rnacentral:rRNA from 1 species